rnacentral:lncRNA from 10 species
UCUUCAGGUUCGAGGGCUUCCUUGCCGUCUGCCAAGAACACUCGUCUUGCGGCCAUGUUCAGAUUCAGCUUUUCUGUGCACUCCUCCAGCAGCUAGAAGAAAGCAAGAGGGUUUCUGAUUGCCCGGGUUGAAGUGUAUCUCAUAUUUCCCACAGUGUAAUUAACAACAUUCUACUCUGGUGCUUUCAAAGAAAAAAACAAAAACAAAAACAAAACCCGAGAGAUGUGUUACAUUUUAAUGUCUGAGAUAGUCAAUUGAAACAUUAUAAACUCUGCUCAAAGGAAAGAACUUCAACAAUAGGUUAAAAAGAACAGAGAACAGCUUUGAUUACCUCAGUUGACCCACUGGAGCACUGACAGGCCUUCAGACUCAGAUUGGAAACUACAGCAAUGGCCCUCUGUCUCUCAGGCCUUUGAACCACACCACUGGUUUUCCUGGGUCUCCAGCUUGUAGAUGACUAAUCAUGAGACUUCACAGCCUCCAUAAUCGGGUCCAGAGUCUGGGCAAAGCUUAGCUGGAUCCUCUGUUCAGAAUCUCACAGAGCUGAAAUCAAGGUGUCAGCUGGGGCUGCAGUCUCAUCUGAUGCUCAGGGUCCUCUUCCAAGCUCAUUCAGGAACUCAAUCAGUGGUCGAUAUGCAGGAAUUAUUCUUUGAUAAUUAUGACAGCGUGCAAAAAUGUAUCCAAAUACCACUGAAAAGAAACAAACACAAUUUAAGAAAUAAAAUAAA